UUUUCACCGGCGGGAAGCUUGGGUGGAGAUGCCCUUUUCGGGGGCUUUCUCUUUUCCAUCGGUAUGGGUCCGGGCGCAGCAGCGAACGAUGUCGGCCGACACCGCGAAUGACGACGGUAAAUGAUGGAAAACGCGGUCACCUUGAAAAUUAGGGAUUUGCUAUAGUGUUUUAGAGAGAGAGAUGAAAGUUUCUAUCAUUAAUCUUUUUUAAACCAAUAGUCUAUUGAAACCGUACUAACCAAACGUUACUGGAGGCGCCACCACGGUGAAGGGAAAUGCGACCGACGACGGAGCCACCACCUAGAUCUUCAACGGGAGACAUGCCAACGAGAGAAACACGAAGACACCACAAAGCAAAGCAAUAUGAGAGGGAGUACACCUGAAAGAGCCCUGUGGCAGUGGUUAGAGAGAGAGAGAGCAGAUCGGUCCUAGGACCUUUUUCUGAAGCAACCUUUGCCCACUCUCCGUUCAAGCACCCUGCCGUCUUCCAAAUGGGGUGUUACUAGACAGAGCCGGUGGGUCUAACAAACUCCACCGUAUAGAAC
rnacentral:lncRNA from 1 species